GACGAACGCUAGCGGCGCGCCUAACACAUGCAAGUCGAACGAGCGAGAGAGAGCUUGCUUUCUCGAGCGAGUGGCGAACGGGUGAGUAACGCGUGAGGAACCUGCCUCAAAGAGGGGGACAACAGUUGGAAACGACUGCUAAUACCGCAUAAGCCCACGACCCGGCAUCGGGUUGAGGGAAAAGGAGCAAUCCGCUUUGAGAUGGCCUCGCGUCCGAUUAGCUGGUUGGUGAGGUAACGGCCCACCAAGGCAACGAUCGGUAGCCGGACUGAGAGGUUGAACGGCCACAUUGGGACUGAGACACGGCCCAG
rnacentral:rRNA from 1 species